UACGAAGGGGCUAGCGUUGCUCGGAAUCACUGGGCGUAAAGCGCACGUAGGCGGAUUGUUAAGUCAGGGGUGAAAUCCUGGAGCUCAACUCCAGAACUGCCUUGAUACUGGCGAUCUCGAGUCCGGGAGAGGUGAGUGGAACUGCGAGUGUAGAGGUGAAAUUCGUAGAUAUUCGCAAGAACACCAGUGGCGAAGGCGGCUCACUGGCCCGGUACUGACGCUGAGGUGCGAAAGCGUGGGA
rnacentral:rRNA from 1 species